rnacentral:rRNA from 1 species
UUCCAGACUCCUACGGGAGGCAGCAGUGGGGAAUAUUGCACAAUGGGGGAAACCCUGAUGCAGCGACGCCGCGUGAGCGAUGAAGUAUUUCGGUAUGUAAAGCUCUAUCAGCAGGGAAGAAGAUGACGGUACCUGACUAAGAAGCCCCGGCUAACUACGUGCCAGCAGCCGCGGUAAUACGUAGGGGGCAAGCGUUAUCCGGAUUUACUGGGUGUAAAGGGAGCGUAGACGGCUGUGCAAGUCUGAAGUGAAAGCCCGUGGCUCAACCGCGGAACUGCUUUGGAAACUGUAUAGCUUGAGUACUGGAGAGGCAGGCGGAAUUCCUAGUGUAGCGGUGAAAUGCGUAGAUAUUAGGAAGAACACCAGUGGCGAAGGCGGAUGACUGGACGACAACUGACGGUGAGGCGCGAAAGCGUGGGGAGCAAACAGGAUUAGAUACCCGCGUAAC